CAGCCUGGUAAUGCGUUACCACUUCAAAUUAAAACCCACAGGAUCACUGGAAACUCGUUUAAUCUUCUUAGGAGUCAGUAUGGACCUGUUAUAGUUAGAUCCUCUGCCUUUGUUUGCAAAGCACGUUGGGGUUGUUCAGAUUGUUUUAAAUGUAACAUAGAAAUACAUUUGACUUGACAGCGUCGUGACAUUGAAAAGGCAGGGACUGGAACUGUGCAUCAGGCAGGGCCAAAGUGUUUCUAAGUUCUCUGCCCCUCCUGUUUUCUCACCAGGCAUCAACUACCCGACUGGUUUCCGCCUGUGCAGUCUGACAAUGCUGCCCACAGGUUCCUCAGAGGCGGAUCUUGGCUGCUUGAGCUUUGUUGGAUUGUUUAGGCAGACUUCUCGAGACCAGGCCAACAUUGCUGUACUGUUCGAUAUUUUUGCAUGAAUACUGGGGCUGGUGUGUUUCAGAGCAGACACAGCAAACAGACCAUCGAACAAUUCCAUCUUCUACAGUCGACUGUGACUAUGUAUCCAGCCUUACAGUCGGUAAAUCCCUUGUUUCCCUUGUGUCUGUGAAUCUUUAACACAACUCAGAGAGGAGCGGAGACACUUCUGUGGAGGCUUGAAGCAGUCAGGAAUAUUUUCUCGAUUUUUCUCUCCCAUCAUGGGGAAUGCAGCAUCUGGGAUCCCAUUAUCAUAUUCUGGGCCGUAUUGUAGACUGGACAAAUAUCCGUCCCCCCGCCAUGCAGGAUGUGAGGAUGUUCCUAAGGGUUCUGAGGGCUGUGGCUGUGUGUGGCAGAAUGUCGGACGAGGAUGAACAUCUGUUGAUGAAGUGGGCAUGUGACAGAGGUUGGGCUAUGGCUGAGGACAUGUGGAGCUUGGACGAGGAGGAACUGUGUUUGACAGAUUACAGAGGUGAAGUGAGGUGUAAUUACACAUGCAAACUGCAAUUAAUGAAUUAA
rnacentral:lncRNA from 1 species